GGAGAAAUGGCUGAGUGGGUGAAAGCGAUGGAUUGCUAAUCCAUUAUAUGAAACUGUUUAUAUCAAGGGUUCGAAUCCCUUUUUCUCCG
rnacentral:tRNA from 1 species